AUAGUAUCGCAAUAGUAAUUCAACCUAGUAUGAGAGGAACCAUUGAUUCGCACAAUUGGUCAUCACGCUUGGUUAAAAAGCCAGUGGCGCGAAGCUACUGUGCAAGGGAUUAUGACUGAACGCCUCUUAGUCAGAAUCCGGGCUGAAAGCGACGCAUGCACCCGUCGUCCGCUUGCUGACCUGCAAUAGGGGCCUUUGGCCCCCAAGGGCACGUGUCGUUAGCUAAGUCAUCGCGGUGGAAGAGCCGCGAUGGCUGCCUUGAAGUACAAUUUCCAUCGAGCAGCGGGUAUAAUCCUUUGCAGAUGACUUAAAUACGCGACGAGGUAUCGUAAGUGGUAGAGUGGCCUUGAUGCCACGAUCCACUGAGAUUCAGCCCUUUUUCGCUCUGAUUC
rnacentral:rRNA from 1 species